CCAAUAGCGUAUAUUAGUGUUGUUGCGGUUAAAAAGCUCGUAGUUGAAUUUCGGGAUUGGGAUAUAUCGGUCGUGCCUUUAGGGGCAUGAAUCGGUGUGUGUCCAGUUCUCACCUUCUGGUGAAUUGGGAUGCUCUUGGGUGUUUCAAUGAACUAGGACUUUUACUUUGAAAAAAUUAGAGUGUUUAAAGCGGGCAUUUUUGCUUGAAUACAUUAGCAUGGAAUAAUAAAAUAGGACGAUGGUUCUAUUUUGUUGGUUUUAGGACCACGUAAUGAUUAAUAGGGAUAGUUGGGGGCAUUAGUAUUCAAUUGUCAGAGGUGAAAUUCUUGGAUUAAUUGAGGACUAACUACUGCGAAAGCAUUUGCCAAGGAUGUUUUCAUUAAUCAAGAACGAAAGUUAGGGGAUCGAAGACGAUUUAUGUACGUCGUAGUCUUAACCAUAAACUAUGCCGACUAGGAAUCAGACAAAGUUCAUUUUUUAUUGACUUGUUUGGUACCUUACG
rnacentral:misc_RNA from 1 species